CGGCGCCGUGAAUACGUUCCCAGGCCUUGUACACACCGCCCGUCAAACCAUGAAAGUGACCAACACCCGAAGUCCGAUUCGUCGGCCUAAGGUGGGGGGCAUGAUUGGGGUU
rnacentral:rRNA from 1 species